rnacentral:tRNA from 1 species
GGGCUCGUAGCUCAACUAGGCAGAGCGGCCGGCUUUUAACCGGCGGGUUGUAGGUUCGAUUCCUACCGGGCCCACCA